GUUGAACUCCACCUCAUCUGGGUCUGAGCAAGCAGCUCUGGUUCAUUAGUUGGGAACUUGGUUGGUUUUAGUGAACCUCAUGAUCCCUGUAGUCUGACCUUGUGAUGACUAGAUGACGACUGACUUGAAACCAUGGAGUCUUGUUAUAUUAGCUCUAUCUGAUUUGGUCAACGUAGAAAGCUUCACCCCAUGUAUGUUGUGCAUACUCAUCUUAUGCUGUUCUGUCGUCUGCAGGUUCUGAUCGCUCUCUGAGAUCCGACUGAACGGCCAAGACGAGGUUGACUGAGGAAAAGGCUGCAUCUCUUGGGCUGACCUUGAAAGCAGAUGUAAUGUCCUCUGGCCCUCAGACAGCCUGAUGUUUUACUCUAAAGAUUCUGUGGUAUUAUGGCGACCGGAGUUUGACCUGCAGACAAUUUAAUAUCUCUUGGCAAAUGUGUUUUCAACAUUGUUGCAAUAAAAUACUCAAAACGAAA